rnacentral:tRNA from 3 species
GCCGAGGUAGCUCAGUUGGUAGAGCAUUCCCCUGAAGAGGGAAGGGUCACCAGUUCGAUCCUGGUCCUCGGCACCA